GUGGUUUUCCUCGCUCUCGAACUUGGUGAAUUUGCGUUAAAGUUUUCUGCGGGAGGGUCCUGCGACUCUGCAGUGUUAGGAGUGAGUAGAGUAUACCUGAUGCGAAGCUUAUUGUGAUACACCAAAAAGUAACAGACAUUUAUAUGAAGCACGAAUGGCCGUCUCUGGACUGAUUCAGACGGUCAGUAGUAUUAGUAAGGCUCCGGAGCUGGGGCAGUGGACAUGCCUGCUGGCUGGAGGGCUGGAGGGCUUUACAGACUGCAAUACACACACCCACUGUGCUGCUGUCUGUGGCCAUGGGCAACGUCCUUGUUGUUAACGCCACCUUGAAGAUUAACAGGGAGGUGCGCAGUGUGAGCAAAGUGCAGCUCAGCGCAUCUUCCUACGUCUCAGUCAGCGGCCAGGGGGAUAGUGCUGCAGACACCUACAAGGAUCUCCAAAAGUUAUCCCGUGUCUUUAAAGACCAGCUUGUGUAUCCUCUGUUGGCGUCGGCCAGGCAGCUCUGGACCUGCCAGAUGUGUUUGGGCUGGCUGUUCUUCCCCCGGAGCUAAAGCUGCGUGUUGUGAGGCUACUGGACGUCAACUCUGUGAUCUCCCUCUCCACUGUGAGCCAAAACCUCAACACAGCCACCAGCGACCCCUCGCUGUGGAGGUUCCUGUAGCUGCGCGACUUCAGAGAUUCAACAAGCAGAGACAGAGGGACAGAUUGGAAAGCUCUCUACAAGAUGUCAUACAAGCAGGAGAGAGACAGGCAGUGCACAAUGAUCUACCCUUGCCUUUCUCCCUUCCCGUUCAAUCCUAACGAAAUCUUCUACACCCAACAUAGCUCCACCUACCCCCCUUCCCCCACCUACCUCCCUGGGAUCAUCGGCGGAGAGUACGACCAGAGGGCUUUGCUUCCGUGCGUGGGGGGGCUCGGCGCCCCACUUCUACCAGAAGUCCUGCUCCCGGGAGAGGUGCAAUCGCUCACCGCUUGCUGAGACCCGGCAGCUGGUCUGCGGAUAUCCGCCGAGGGUUUAUUUGAGCUCGGGAAUAAAGGACUUUAGGUUAACUUUCAACUCUUUGUUUUCGGUCCUUGCGUGUUCGCCUGUUCCAGUUCCAGCAGAUCAGUGUUUGUGUUUGUGAUUUUAGGACCCUGCUAUGCCCCUUCUUCCAGGAGGAUUCCCCACUACCAAGUGCUUACAACGGCAAUGAAAGCACAAUGACUAUAAGAAGAGAAUGAGGCCUACUUCUGAUAAUCAGCCUUGCCUAUGGCCCCUGAGAAAGCUGAGUUCUUGGCGCCAGCGAUACCUGCCACCACUGUGUUUUGAUGAAUAGUUUCUCUACCGAUUAUCUGGAUAAUAGACCCACCCCAUGAAAGUAAUAAGGACACGAUGCAAGCCGGAAAUCUACUGCAAGCUAAGAGCUUGUGUGUGUUUAAAAGCAAAGUGCUGCCAGCUGUGAGCCUGUCUAGUCUGCAAGUUAACAUUUAAUAUGUAAAAUGCAUCAAGUAGUCUUGUAUUCUGGACAGUACUGUAGUUAAUUCCAUAAAGAUUACACACCUGUGACACAUUAGAUAUUUGAGAAAAAGAGAAGGUGUCAAGCUCCUAUAUAUUAGCACAUCUUUUGGACUGCAACUGGUGAUAAGUCAACCACCCUAAAAGAAGGGACGGUUUGGGAUCAGAAAGUGUCGGUCAGCAACAUCACACUUAUCUUGCUGUGGGCUAUAGGGGUCAACAGGGUGUCCCAUUAAUCAGAUAUCGUCAAAAUUAUCUGAAUUUUUUCUGCUUUACUAAGAGACAUUUCUUACCUGACCAUUAUUAAAAAUUAAGCACUGGCUGAUGCCUGGUUUAUUUUAAUGGUCUGAAGAGCAGCACCUCUCAAACUCACCCCUCCAGCAUAUUACUAUAGUGCUGAGUGAUGUUGAUAAGGGUUGCUCACCCAGGCUCGUGGAAGAAUGGUAUUAUUGUAGUUAAAGUUUGGUGGCAUGAUCUGUUCUGAUCAUGAAGAUAGAGUUCCCAUUUACCUACUAUGGUUGUACGAGUUCCUAGGUAAAAGAGGAAGCUGGCUGGUUCGCGGGAUCGGAGGAUGCCUACUGAACCUUCAGUUCUCCUGAGCUGUGUGGGGAAUAUAAAGUAUAAUUGGACAUUCUAAAUAGGGGGUAAAAUAAAUGGGCAUUCUAAUAAAUAUUGGUGCAGACGUAGCUGUUAUUUCUGUUAAGAAAUCUAGACCAGUGAUAGCAGUCUGUGGAAAGCCAGUGAAAACCUCUCAGCUUUACUGUUGAUUGCUUUGUGACAAUAAAGGUAAUCUGUUUGAAUUCUGUGUAAUAUAAUAUAAAAAUGAAAUAAAA